rnacentral:rRNA from 1 species
AGUGAACGCUGGCGGUAGGCCUAACACAUGCAAGUCGAACGGCAGCACAGUAAGAGCUUGCUCUUACGGGUGGCGAGUGGCGGACGGGUGAGGAAUACAUCGGAAUCUACUUUUUCGUGGGGGAUAACGUAGGGAAACUUACGCUAAUACCGCAUACGACCUACGGGUGAAAGCAGGGGAUCUUCGGACCUUGCGCGAUUGAAUGAGCCGAUGUCGGAUUAGCUAGUUGGCGGGGCAAAGGCCCACCAAGGCUACGAUCCGUAGCUGGUCUGAGUGGAUGAUCAGCCACACUGGAACGGAGACACGGUCCAGACUCCUACGGGAGGCAGCAGUGGGGAAUAUUGGACAAUGGGCGCAAGCCUGAUCCAGCCAUACCGAGUGGGUGAAGAAGGCCUUCGGGUUGUAAAGCCCUUUUGUUGGGAAAGAAAAGCAGCAGGUUAAUACCCCGCUGUUCUGACGGUACCCAAAGAAUAAGCACCGGCUAACUUCGUG